rnacentral:rRNA from 1 species
UACGUAGGGACCAAGCGUUGUCCGGAAUCAUUGGGCGUAAAGAGCGUGUAGGCGGCCAGAUAAGUCCGCUGUGAAAUCUCGAGGCUCAACUUCGAGCUGUCGGUGGAAACUGUCUGGCUAGAGUCCGGAAGAGGAGAAUGGAAUUCCUGGUGUAGCGGUGAAAUGCGCAGAUAUCAGGAAGAACACCCGUGGCGAAGGCGGUUCUCUGGGACGGUACUGACGCUGAGACGCGAAAGCGUGGGGAGCGAACAGG